rnacentral:snRNA from 1 species
UGAUAGGGCGAUCUGGCUGCAACAUCUGUCACCCCAUUGAUCACCAGGGUUGAUUUGGCUGAUCUGGCUGGCUAGGUGGGUGUCCCCUUCCUCCCUCAUUGCUCCAUGUGCGUCCCUCCCGAAGCUGCAGCUGCGUGCUCUUUGGAAGAGGACGACCUUCCCCGAUAGAGGAGGACCUUUCUUUGGUCAAGGGUAUACGAGUAGCUGCGCUCCCCUGCUAGAACCUCCAAACAAGCUCUCAAGGUGGCUCACACUUGUAAUCCCAGGGCUCAGGAGGCUGAAGCAGGAGGCUUGAUAGUUCAAAGCCAGCCUCAGCAAAAGUGAGGGGCU